AUACGUAGGGGGCAAGCGUUGUCCGGAAUUAUUGGGCGUAAAGGGUGCGUAGGCGGCCGAUCAAGUCAGGUGUGAAAGACCCGUGCUUAACAUGGGGGUUGCACUUGAAACUGGUUGGCUUGAGUAUGGGAGAGGCAAGCGGAAUUCCCGGUGUAGCGGUGAAAUGCGUAGAGAUCGGGAGGAACACCAGUGGCGAAGGCGGCUUGCUGGACCAAAACUGACGCUGAGGCACGAAAGCGUGGGUAGC
rnacentral:rRNA from 1 species